UCAUAGCUAUCAAACAUUGAGAUAAUUUGCAACGUUUGCACUGCGACUUGUAUUUAAUUAUUGCUUAGUCAUAAUUUUUCGUUUCGUCAACAACAUUGGACGAGAAAACAGUAUCUCCCAAACAAGCGCUGUUCAAAUCUAGAAUUAAUAUAUUUUGGUUAUUGAUUCAAUUUGAAAACAUUUCGAAGCUAACAGUAUGAGCCGUUUAAGCAAAGGUGACCCUAGUAGUUACUCUGAGCCAGAGAAUGUUGUAACCCGGCACACCGAAUUGUUCUGGAAUAUUGAUUUCGACAAUCAAACGAUCAGCGGUGAAGCCAUCUUACACUUUGACAUCGUUGCCAAGGAAAUCGAACGCAUUUUACUCGAUGUAAGCGAGCUGACAAUCA